AUGAUCAUGGAUAACGCCUUAAUUGCAUUUGAGUGCAUCCAUUAUAUCAAGCAAGAGAAGGACCCAGAAAAAAGUUUCUGUGCUUACAAGCUUGACCUUUCCAAGGCUUAUGAUAUGGUUGAUUGGAAUUACCUUAGGCAAACGAUGGAAAAGAUUGGUUUCACUCACAAAUGGGUUGACUGGAUAAUGACAUGUGUCACCACUGUGAGAUAUUCUGUAAAAUUAAAUGGAACAAUCUUGGAUUCAUUUGCACCAUCGCGUGGGCUACGGCAAGCAAAACAAUCUCAGGCAAUGCAUGUUAAGAGUAUUUUGAAUGCUUAUACUGCUGCUACUGGACAAUUACUCAACCCUGCAAAAUGCUCCAUCCUUUUUGGGGAAUAUUGUCCCAUUAUUCAGCAGCAUGAAGUCAGAGCCAUGCUCCAAGCUGAUACCAUAAAUUUUGAAGAGAGUUACCUUGGUUUACCGACUCCUGAUGGUCGCAUGACAAAAGGUAAAUUCCAAAAUCUACAAGUUAAGCUGACAAAGAGAAUGUUGCUUUGGGGAUGCCCCUCACAAGGUGGUAAAGAAGUUCUUAUAAAGUCCAUUGCUCAGUCCAUUCCAACUUAUAUCAUGAGUAUCUUUAAAUUGCCUCUAGGACUUUGCGAUGAACUAAAUCAGAUGAUCCGCAACUAUUGGUGGGGCUCAGAAAAAGGGAAAAGGAAAACACAUUGGAAAUCUUGGGAGGAGAUUACUAAACCGAAGUGUAUGGGUGGUAUUGGUUUUCGGGAUUUCAGGUUGUUUAACCAAGCCUUACUUGCGCGGCAAGCUUGGCGUCUCCUGACAAUCCCGGACAGUCUUUGUGCACGUGUCCUACGUGCCAAAUACUACCCUAAUGGUAGGCUUGAGGACACUGUUUUUGCUGGUAACCCGUCAUCAUCAUGGCAAGGAGUAGCUCAUGGUCUUGAGCUUUUGAAAAAAGGGCUAAUAUGGAGGAUUGGAAAUGGCACCCAAGUGCGAAUAUGGAGAGAUAGAUGGAUCCCUCGAAAACCCUCCUUCCAAAUAAUCUCUGCCAAGGGGCGUUGCAGGUUGAAGUGGGUGUCCGAACUCUUGGAUAUCAAUGGCAACUGGGACGUUGCUGCAGUCCGUCAAUGGUUUCCGCUUGAUGCUGAUGUAAUCUUGAAGAUCAAGAAUUCCGUGCGCAACGAGGACGAUUUUAUUGCUUGGGCUGGAGAGAAGAUGGGCAUCUUCUCGGUUCAUAGCGCAUAUAGGAUUGCCUUUGAAGAAAUGAACCAGCCGAAUCAAUCUUCUUCCAGUAACUCUCCUGAUGGAGAACGAAGAGCUUGGUCAGCUAUUUGGUCUUGUAAUGCUCCACCAAAGACCCGCAUUUUUGCUUGGCGUGCUGCAAACAACUCACUUCCGACUUGGGAUCUGAAGCAUGCUAGGAAGCUGGAGGUUGUGGAUUUAUGUCCAGUUUGUGGCACUGAAAAAGAAGACACGUUUCAUGCUUUGUGUCGAUGUCCCAAUGCCAGGAAUCUUUGGCUUGCAAUGGCUGAUAUUUGGCCUAUCCCCGAUCUUAAAGACAUGAUGAACACAGGCCCGGAAUGGCUUCUCCAUGCCCUGUGCAAAUUGCCUGAUGAGCAGCGCCUGCACCUGGUUAUGCUCUUAUGGAGAAUUUGGUACGUUCGGAAUGAGGUAGUACAUGAUAACCAGCACCGCCAGUUCAGGUUUCUGUAA
rnacentral:rRNA from 1 species